CAAGUACUCCCUCCGUCCGGAAUUACUUGUCAUCAAAAUGGAUGUGUCUAGAACUAAAAUACAUCUAGAUACAUCCAUUUCAAUGACAAGUAUUUUGGGACAGAGGGAGUACAAG
rfam:Triticum aestivum genome assembly, contig: Triticum_aestivum_CS42_TGACv1_scaffold_612805_7DL